AGUGAACGCUGGCGGUAGGCCUAACACAUGCAAGUCGAACGGCAGCACAGUAAGAGCUUGCUCUUACGGGUGGCGAGUGGCGGACGGGUGAGGAAUACAUCGGAAUCUACUUUUUCGUGGGGGAUAACGUAGGGAAACUUACGCUAAUACCGCAUACGACCUACGGGUGAAAGCAGGGGAUCUUCGGACCUUGCGCGAUUGAAUGAGCCGAUGUCGGAUUAGCUAGUUGGCGGGGUAAAGGCCCACCAAGGCGACGAUCCGUAGCUGGUCUGAGAGGAUGAUAGGCCACACUGGAGCGGAGACACGGUCCAGGCGCCUGAGGGAGGCAGCAGUGGGGAAUAUUGGGCAAUGGGGGCAAGCCUGGUCCAGCCAUACCGCGUGGGUGAAGAAGGCCUUCGGGUUGUAAAGCCCUUUUGUUGGGAAAGAAAAGCAGCAGGUUAAUACCCCGCUGUUCUGACGGUACCCAAAGAAUAAGCACCGGCUAACUUCGUG
rnacentral:rRNA from 1 species